UACAGAGGUCUCGAGCGUUGUUCGGAUUCAUUGGGCGUAAAGGGUGCGUAGGUGGCAUGGUAAGUCGGAUGUGAAAUCCCGGGGCUUAACCCCGGAACUGCAUUCGAUACUGCUGAGCUAGAGUACUGGAGAGGAGAUUGGAAUUUACGGUGUAGCAGUGAAAUGCGUAGAUAUCGUAAGGAAGACCAGUGGCGAAGGCGGAUCUCUGGACAGUUACUGACACUGAGGCACGAAGGCCAGGGGAGCAAACGGG
rnacentral:rRNA from 1 species